rnacentral:rRNA from 1 species
GCAAGUCGAGGGGCAGCAUGAUUUGUAGCAAUACAGAUUGAUGGCGACCGGCGCACGGGUGAGUAACGCGUAUGCAACUUACCUAUCAGAGGGGGAUAGCCCGGCGAAAGUCGGAUUAAUACCCCAUAAAACAGAGGUCCCGCAUGGGAAUAUUUGUUAAAGAUUCAUCGCUGAUAGAUAGGCAUGCGUUCCAUUAGGCAGUUGGCGGGGUAACGGCCCACCAAACCGACGAUGGAUAGGGGUUCUGAGAGGAAGGUCCCCCACAUUGGUACUGAGACACGGACCAAACUCCUACGGGAGGCAGCAGUGAGGAAUAUUGGUCAAUGGCCGAGAGGCUGAACCAGCCAAGUCGCGUGAAGGAAGAAGGAUCUAUGGUUUGUAAACUUCUUUUAUAGGGGAAUAAAGUGGAGGACGUGUCCUUUUUUGUAUGUACCCUAUGAAUAAGCAUCGGCUAACUCCGUGCCAGCAGCCGCGGUAAUACGGAGGAUGCGAGCGUUAUCCGGAUUUAUUGGGUUUAAAGGGUGCGUAGGUGGUGAUUUAAGUCAGCGGUGAAAGUUUGUGGCUCAACCAUAAAAUUGCCGUUGAAACUGGGUUACUUGAGUGUGUUUGAGGUAGGCGGAAUGCGUGGUGUAGCGGUGAAAUGCAUAGAUAUCACGCAGAACUCCGAUUGCGAAGGCAGCUUACUAAACCAUAACUGACACUGAAGCACGAAAGCGUGGGGAUC